GCUUUCUGAUUUAUGAUAUUGUUCCUAAUGGAAACCUUUCACGCUUCCUUGAUGUUAAGGAAGGAGAUGGAGAAGUCCUUGAAUGGUCAACUAGAGUUUCUAUUGUGAAAGGGAUUGCUAAAGGUAUGGCAUAUUUGCAUGCAUACAAAGCAAACAAGCCCGUUUUGGUUCACCAAAACAUCUCAACUGAC